UACGAAGGGGGCUAGCGUUGCUCGGAAUCACUGGGCGUAAAGCGCACGUAGGCGGCUUUUUAAGUCGGGGCUGAAAGCCUGUGGCUCAACCACAGAAUGGCCUUCGAUACUGGGACGCUUGAGUAUGGUAGAGGUUGGUGGAACUGCGAGUGUAGAGGUGAAAUUCGUAGAUAUUCGCAAGAACACCGGUGGCGAAGGCGGCCAACUGGACCAUUACUGACGCUGAGGCGCGAAAGCGUGGGGAGCAAACAGG
rnacentral:rRNA from 1 species